AGUGAACACUGGCGGUAGGCCUAACACAUGCAAGUCGAACGGCAGCACAGUAAGAGCUUGCUCUUACGGGUGGCGAGUGGCGGACGGGUGAGGAAUACAUCGGAAUCUACUUUUUCGUGGGGGAUAACGUAGGGAAACUUACGCUAAUACCGCAUACGACCUACGGGUGAAAGCAGGGGAUCUUCGGACCUUGCGCGAUUGAAUGAGCCGAUGUCGGAUUAGCUAGUUGGCGGGGUAAAGGCCCACCAGGGCGACGAUCCGUAGCUGGUCUGAGAGGAUGAUCAGCCACACUGGAACUGAGACACGGCCCAGACUCCUACGGGAGGCAGCAGUGGGGAAUAUUGGACAAUGGGCGCAAGCCUGAUCCAGCCAUACCGCGUGGGUGAAGAAGGCCUUCGGGUUGUAAAGCCCUUUUGUUGGGAAAGAAGAGCAGCAGGUUAAUACCCCGCUGUUCUGACGGUACCCAAAGAAUAAGCACCGGCUAACUUCGUG
rnacentral:rRNA from 1 species